UACAGGGGGGGCAAGCGUUGUCCGGAAUCACUGGGCGUAAAGCGCACGUAGGCGGCUUUCUAAGUCAGGGGUGAAAUCCUGGAGCUCAACUCCAGAACUGCCUUUGAUACUGGAGAGCUUGAGUCCGGGAGAGGUGAGUGGAACUCCGAGUGUAGAGGUGAAAUUCGUAGAUAUUCGGAAGAACACCAGUGGCGAAGGCGGCUCACUGGCCCGGUACUGACGCUGAUGUGCGAAAGCGUGGGGAGCAAACAGG
rnacentral:rRNA from 1 species